CACGAGAUCAGGAGCUGGAAGGAAACUCCGAGAUUAUUUAGUCCAACUCCCUCAUUUCAGACUUGUGGAAAGUGAGGCCUUGAGAGGGAACAGUGUCUCGUCCAAGGUCACUCAGGGAGUAAGGAGCGAGGCUGAAAGCAGAAGACGCCCUACGGAGGGGAAAAGAGUCCUGGCUCAGGAGUUAAAGGAUAUGAAUUCGAAUCCUGACUUCGGUUUCAUCAGAGAUGAGAAAACUGAAAGUCAGGGAGAGGAAGUGAUUACCCAAUAUCACACAGUAAGUUUAUGGCAGAACUCAUAUUCAAAUAAUAACCCCCUUUGUAUAGGACUUUAUGGUUUAGAAAGCAUUUUAUCCAUAAUACUCCAGUGUAAUAUACUCCAGGUAAUAUAAGGAAAAUUAUACUGACUUUAUAGUUCUGUUUUUAAGAGGUUAAGUGACUUGGUCAUGGUCAUAAGCAAUAAAGAAUAGAGCUUAAAUUUGAG
rnacentral:lncRNA from 1 species